rnacentral:rRNA from 1 species
AACGAACGCUGGCGGCAUGCCUAACACAUGCAAGUCGAACGAGACCUUCGGGUCUAGUGGCGCACGGGUGCGUAACGCGUGGGAACCUGCCCUUAGGUUCGGAAUAACUCCCCGAAAGGGGUGCUAAUACCGGAUAACGUCCUCGGACCAAAGAUUUAUCGUCUUUGGAUGGGCCCGCGUUGGAUUAGCUAGUUGGUAGGGUAAAAGCCUACCAAGGCGACGAUCCAUAGCUGGUCUGAGAGGAUGAUCAGCCACACUGGGACUGAGACACGGCCCAGACUCCUACGGGAGGCAGCAGUGGGGAAUAUUGGACAAUGGGCGAAAGCCGGAUCCAGCAAUGCCGCGUGAGUGAUGAAGGCCUUAGGGUUGUAAAGCUCUUUUACCCGGGAUGAUAAUGACAGUACCGGGAGAAUAAGCUCCGGCUAACUCCGUG